UUUUAUUAUCCAUGUUUGAACGGAAGUUUUUAACGAUGAUUUUCUUUGCAAAAACUGUACGUUCGAAAUUCGUCAGCUUCUGAAUUUGAAAACCGAUCACACGCAUUACAAGCGCAGCAACACGCAACAGUUUAGAUAGAGUCAUGAGGCAGGAUGUGUACAAGAAAAGCUUUGCCAGAGUUUUGUCUUUUGAAAUACAAC